AUUGAACGCUGGCGGCAGGCCUAACACAUGCAAGUCGAGCGGAUGAAGGGAGCUUGCUCCUGGAUUCAGCGGCGGACGGGUGAGUAAUGCCUAGGAAUCUGCCUGGUAGUGGGGGAUAACGUCCGGAAACGGGCGCUAAUACCGCAUACGUCCUGAGGGAGAAAGUGGGGGAUCUUCGGACCUCACGCUAUCAGAUGAGCCUAGGUCGGAUUAGCUAGUUGGUGGGGUAAAGGCCUACCAAGGCGACGAUCCGUAACUGGUCUGAGAGGAUGAUCAGUCACACUGGAACUGAGACACGGUCCAGACUCCUAAGGGAGGCAGCAGUGGGGAAUAUUAGACAAUGGGCGAAAGCCUUAUCCAGCCAUGCCGCGUGUGUGAAGAAGGUCUUCGGAGUGUAAAGCACUUUAAGUUGGGAGGAAGGGCAGUAAGUUAAUACCUUGCUGUUUUGACGGUACCAACAGAAUAAGCACCGGCUAACUUCGUG
rnacentral:rRNA from 1 species